AUUGAACGCUGGCGGCAGGCUUAACACAUGCAAGUCGAGCGGAGCGAGGGUGCUUGCACCUUAGCUUAGCGGCGGACGGGUGAGUAAUGCUUAGGAAUCUGCCUAUUAGUGGGGGACAACAUUCCGAAAGGAAUGCUAAUACCGCAUACGCCCUACGGGGGAAAGCAGGGGAUCUUCGGACCUUGCGCUAAUAGAUGAGCCUAAGUCGGAUUAGCUAGUUGGUGGAGUAAAGGCCUACCAAGGCGACGAUCUGUAGCGGGUCUGAGCGGAUGAUCCGCCACACUGGGACUGAGACACGGCCCAGACUCCUACGGGAGGCAGCAGUGGGGAAUAUUGGACAAUGGGCGGAAGCCUGAUCCAGCCAUGCCGCGUGUGUGAAGAAGGCCUUUUGGUUGUAAAGCACUUUAAGCGAGGAGGAGGCUACUUAGAUUAAUACUCUGGGAUAGUGGACGUUACUCGCAGAAUAAGCACCGGCUAACUCUGUGCCAGCCGCCGCGGUAA
rnacentral:rRNA from 1 species